GAUGAACGCUGGCGGCGUGCCUAAUACAUGCAAGUCGAGCGAACGGACGAGAAGCUUGCUUCUCUGAUGUUAGCGGCGGACGGGUGAGUAACACGUGGAUAACCUACCUAUAAGACUGGGAUAACUUCGGGAAACCGUAGCUAAUACCGGAUAAUAUUUUGAACCGCAUGGUUCAAAAGUGAAAGACGGUCUUGCUGUCACUUAUAGAUGGAUCCGCGCUGCAUUAGCUAGUUGGUAAGGUAACGGCUUACCAAGGCAACGAUGCAUAGCCGACCUGAGAGGGUGAUCGGCCACACUGGAACUGAGACACGGUCCAGACUCCUACGGGAGGCAGCAGUAGGGAAUCUUCCGCAAUGGGCGAAAGCCUGACGGAGCAACGCCGCGUGAGUGAUGAAGGUCUUCGGAUCGUAAAACUCUGUUAUUAGGGAAGAACAUAUGUGUAAGUAACUGUGCACAUCUUGACGGUACCUAAUCAGAAAGCCACGGCUAACUACGUGCCCGCAGCCCCGGUAAUACGUAGGUGGGCAGCGUUAUCCCGGAUUUAUUGGGCCGUAAAGCGCGCGUAGGCGGUUUUUUAAGUCUGAUGUGAAAGCCCACGGCUCAACCGUGGAGGGUCAUUGGAAACUGGAAAACUUGAGUGCAGAAGAGGAAAGUGGAAUUCCAUGUGUAGCGGUGAAAUGCGCAGAGAUAUGGAGGAACACCAGUGGCGAAGGCGACUUUCUGGUCUGUAACUGACGCUGAUGUGCGAAAGCGUGGGGAUCAAACAGGAUUAGAUACCCUGGUAGUCCACGCCGUAAACGAUGAGUGCUAAGUGUUAGGGGGUUUCCGCCCCUUAGUGCUGCAGCUAACGCAUUAAGCACUCCGCCUGGGGAGUACGACCGCAAGGUUGAAACUCAAAGGUAUUGACGGGGACCCGCACAAGCGGUGGAGCAUGUGGUUUAAUUCGAAGCAACGCGAAGAACCUUACCAAAUCUUGACAUCCUUUGACAACUCUAGAGAUAGAGCCUUCCCCUUCGGGGGACAAAGUGACAGGUGGUGCAUGGUUGUCGUCAGCUCGUGUCGUGAGAUGUUGGGUUAAGUCCCGCAACGAGCGCAACCCUUAAGCUUAGUUGCCAUCAUUAAGUUGGGCACUCUAAGUUGACUGCCGGUGACAAACCGGAGGAAGGUGGGGAUGACGUCAAAUCAUCAUGCCCCUUAUGAUUUGGGCUACACACGUGCUACAAUGGACAAUACAAAGGGCAGCGAAACCGCGAGGUCAAGCAAAUCCCAUAAAGUUGUUCUCAGUUCGGAUUGUAGUCUGCAACUCGACUACAUGAAGCUGGAAUCGCUAGUAAUCGUAGAUCAGCAUGCUACGGUGAAUACGUUCCCGGGUCU
rnacentral:rRNA from 1 species